AUACGGAGGGUGCAAGCGUUACUCGGAAUCACUGGGCGUAAAGCGCGCGCAGGCGGCUUGAUAAGUUGGAUGUGAAAGCCUACGGCUCAACCGUAGAACUGCAUCCAAAACUGUCAAGCUAGAGUCUGGGAGGGGAAGAUGGAAUUAGUUGUGUAGGGGUAAAAGUCGUAGAGAUAACUAGGAAUACCAAAAGCGAAGGCGAUCUUCUGGAACAGUACUGACGCUGAGGCGCGAAAGCGUGGGGAGCAAACAGGAUUAGAAACCCCGGUAGUCC
rnacentral:rRNA from 1 species